CACAUCUGGAGUUGUGACAGUGGCUGCUGAGAAGGAUCCGAGUCGUCUGAUCAACACUUGUCUGGCAUUCAACAUUAUUGCAGCAAUGACUGCUGCAGCUGGUGCUUUCCUGUGUGCAUUUGAUCUUGUUAUCAUGGCCUUCUUGAGCUUCAUCAGUUUCUUCAGUUAUCGCGAUUGCUAUGGUGGCUAUUUGGUCGUGCUGGCUAUGUUCCAGUUACUGGAGCUCAUUAUUUCUAUCACCGUGGCAGGAUACGCCUGUCAUGCAACCUGCGACUGCUGCUCCUGCUGCUGCACAGAGGAGCCGCAAGUCUUUGUUCAAGCUGUAGAAGGUCCAGUCACCCCUCAGGCUCCGCCCCUUUUCCAAGCAGCAUCUGUUGUCCCUGCAGAGCCAUACGCUGAGGUGGCGCCCAACGUUAAAAACCCAGGGGAUCUGGGUUCUGCUGAGCCUCCAGCUUCCCAACCUAACUGACUCACACACAUAAACUCCGAUCAUUGCAAACCUGCUGCUUGAGCUUGUCUUUCUUUUUCUGUAAAAAUGCAUCAGUGAGAGAUGUGGA